AUUGAACGCUGGCGGCAGGCUUAACACAUGCAAGUCGAACGAGUGGCGGACGGGUGAUUAAUGUAUGGGAAACUAGCUUAUGGAGGGGGAUAACUACGGGAAACUGUAGCUAAUACCGCAUACCAUAGGAUGAGCCCAAGUGGGAUUAGCUAGUGGGUUGGGUAAAGGCUCACCUAGCCGACGAUCCCUAGCUGGUCUGCGAGGAUGACCGUCAACACUGGGACUGGGAACCGGCCCAAACGCUUACGGGAGGCAGCAGUGGGGAAUAUGGCGCAAUGUGGGCAAGCCUGAUGCAGCCAUGACGCGUGAAUGAAGAAGGCCUUCGGGUUGUAAAGUACUUUCGGUGGCGAGGCGUUAACUGCAGAAGAAGAACCGGCUAACUCCGUGCCAGCAGCCGCGGUAAUAC
rnacentral:rRNA from 1 species